rnacentral:rRNA from 1 species
UUCCGGUUGAUCCUGCCGGAGGCUACCGCUAUUGGAGUUCGAUUAAGCCAUGCGAGUCGCGAGUCUUAGGGACUCGGCGUACCGCUCAGUAACACGUGGGUAACCUGCCCUAUGCUGGGGGAUAACCUCGGGAAACUGAGAAUAAUACCCCAUAGUUCACCACGCCUGGAACGGUGGGUGGAUGAAAGCUCCGGCGGCAUAGGAUGGGCCUGCGGCGUAUCAGGUUGUAGGGGGUGUAAUGUACCCUCUAGCCAUCUACGCGUACGGGUGUUGGGAGACAUCGCCCGGAGAUGGAUUCUGAGACACGAAUCCAGACCCUACGGGGUGCAGCAGGCGCGAAAACUUGGCAAUGCGAGCAAUCGUGACCAGGGAACUCCAAGUGCAUCGGGUAAGACCGAUGCUUUUCUUGACUCUUCAAAGGUCUUGGAAUAAGGGGUGGGUAAGGACGGUGCCAGCCGCCGCGGUAAUACCGGCGCCUCAAGUGGUAGUCGCUUUUAUUGGGCCUAAAACGUCCGUAGCCGGUUUGGUACAUUCGUGGGUAAAUCAAGGCGCUCAACGUCUUGAAUUCUGCGAGCACGGCCAGACUUGGGACCGGGUGAGGUGUGGGGUACUCUCAGGGUAGGGGUAAAAUCCUGUCAUCCUGAGAGGACCACCUGUUGCGAAGGCGCCACACUAGAACGGAUCCGACGGUCAGGGACGAAGCCUAGGGGCACGAACCGGAUUAGAUACCCGGGUAGUCCUAGGUGUAAACGCUGU